UACACAUGAUUUAUACUAGUUGGGUGCAUUCUUCCUUGCUUUGCACUUAAUUCAAACUCUAAUGAAAGGCCAUUGAAAAUUCGUUUGGUUUUCCACUAUAAUGUAAAUUAUUAUAAGAGUUUUUAGUAUAACUGAUAAUUAAAACAAAAUUAAACCCUUCAAGCCUAACAAUGCUUAAGCCAACAUUGAUCUGAAUUUCGAUUUCCCUUAUGUUGAGGCAAAAAAACUAAAAUUACCAAUUCACAAGAUCUUAGUGACCUUUA
rnacentral:lncRNA from 1 species